rnacentral:lncRNA from 1 species
AGGGCGGCCUCGGCUCUGCUCACAGCCGCUCUCGGCGGCUGCCCGAGGCUCACCGCGCCGCCGCCGGGCGCUGACUCAGCCGCAGUCCGGCUGCUCCGCCGAGCCGGACCUGGGGAGCGCGCGCCCGGAGCCUGCCUGGAGCCACCCGAGGAGCACCGCAGCGCUUGAGCCGCGGGCUUCCGGAGCUGGGGGCUGGCCCGUUUAGGUCCCUGAGCGCAUCGGACUCGCUUGGCCAGCCACCUACAGCUCUGCUCUCUGAGAAGCCGCGCUGACUCGCUGGCUCCAGCUGUGAUGCUCAGCUGUCCGUCCAUCUUGUCUCCUGGAACAGCUCAACCCAGGGUCUUCCUGAAGUGGUGAUCACUCCAGCUGGCAGGGAUAGAAAAUGGUACCAGUCAGGCCAGAGCUCUGGGAUCCCACAGUCACUGCUGCAGGAUGGAGGAACCUACUCCCGAGCCCGUCUAUGUGGAUGUGGACAAGGGGUUGACCUUGGCUUGCUUCGUUUUCCUUUGCCUCUUCCUCGUAGUCAUGAUCAUCCGCUGUGCCAAAGUCAUCAUGGACCCCUACAGUGCCAUCCCCACGUCCACCUGGGAGGAGCAGCACCUGGAUGACUGAGGCACAUGACAGGUCUCAGUGUCCUGGACACACCUCUGUACACCCUGGCCAACAUCCUGCAAGCUCUUGGGAGACUGGGUGUGGCUAUAACCACUCAGAGAUGGAGAAGGCUCACCUUCGCCUUACUGACUCUCACAUAACCACCAGAGGGAAAUGCCAGCAUGCCUGAGCCAAGGCAGUCUGGGGAAGCCAGGGGAGAGGAAUGCUAAGCCAUGACUCAGGAUUGUGGAGGCCAUCCUGGGACUCCACUGGGAGACAGACAGCAGAGUGAUGGUCCCCAGCCCAGGCUCCAGGGCACCUUUGAGAUCUGGACCAAAACCAGAUAUUCUGGUCUGUAAACAGUGAUCAGGAGGAGACUGACCUUCAACUGCACAGCACUGAGGGGUUGCUGAGAGCCCAGUACCCUCUACAGACUAGCACUGAUGAGGCAGGAAAGAUGGAGACUUCAGGGGGCUUCUCCUGCAAAUUCUCACAAGGCACACGGCUACUUCCAAACUUUUUUUUUUUUUAAAAAACUAAGAUACAGAGGGAAUAUAUUUUUCCUGUUAAAAAUGAGAUGUGCAUUUUAGACACUUGGGAAAAUAUAGAUAAAUAGAAGGAAAGGGGGGUAAAUAGCACUUAAAAUCCAACCUCCCAGAAGCCAUCAUUUUGAUAUAUUUCUUCAAGUCUUUUUUACAGGAAUUUUUUUAGUAAUUCACACCAUAUGCAUGAUGCUGCAUUGAUUCGUCUGAUAGCUUAAAUAUCUUCUGCCUCACGAGAUACCAUGGCUGUUUUUAGUGACUGAGAGUAUACUGGCUAGGCCAUGGCUGAAUAUAGUCGUUUUCUUUAAUCUAGUUAACUUUCUACUAUGUACUCACAAGAAUCACUUCACCCAGUAACCUUCAGAAGCUCUGUAUCACAGGAGCUCCAGGCAAGAGCUGGGUUCUAGACCUGCUUCAGCUAUUCAAAGGCUGUAAAAGUCACCUCACUUCUUGGUGCCUCCAUUUCCUCAUUGAAAUAUGGGAAGGAGAAGUCUGUCUUUCUGUCUGUCUGUCUGCUGUCUGUGAAAGCAGCCAUGUCACAAGUGGGAGCUGAGACUAGCUUGUCUCUUCUGUUGUCUUUCCUUCAUCUUCUUCUCCCACACACUGUCCCGUGUGUCUGUGACCUUGCUGCAAGGCUCCUAGGUCACAGCCCACAACCUUCCACAACCUGCUUCAACUCCUGUGUCCUUAUUAUAUGACCCCUAAAUAAAUCAGCACCUGUGAGCUCCAA